rnacentral:lncRNA from 1 species
CCUCGAGAAAUACUUACUCUGAACCCUUGUAAGAAUAUCAAGUAUCUUUCUAAAGGAUGGGAGAUCUUAGUAGAUCUAUAAGGUGGAGGAAGUACUACAUAUACUAGCUUAUCUUAAAUAGGUUGUAUAGGUCCUGUGACUCGUUAUUCUUUAGAGAUUCUCUCUUUGAGUUCAUCCUCCCAUUGUUUUUAAGAAAAUAGUA